UACGUAGGGUGCGAGCGUUAAUCGGAAUUACUGGGCGUAAAGCGUGCGCAGGCGGUUUUGUAAGCCAGAUGUGAAAGCCCCGGGCUUAACCUGGGAAUGGCAUUUGGGACUGCAAGGCUUGAGUGCGGCAGAGGAGACUGGAAUUCCUGGUGUAGCGGUGAAAUGCGCAGAUAUCAGGAGGAACACCGGUGGCGAAGGCGGGACUCUGGGCCGAUACUGACGCUGAGGAGCGAAAGCGUGGGGAGCAAACAGG
rnacentral:rRNA from 1 species